UAUUCAUCUGAUUGUUCAAAGGAAAAAUAUGAAAUAGCUAAACAAAUGACGAAAUUUAUCGAGUACUAUUUUUCAUGUAUAUACAAAUAUCGUUCUAGUUUUUGGAAUUAAUAAAGGAAUAGUAGCGAUCAAGAAAGUGUUAUUUCUAUGAAGAACGAGAAAAUCGGAAUGUCAAUUCCGAUUCGGCCAUUUUAAAAGGACUUACGUAUGUACGACGUCCAGCAGGGAAAGUGCCGCGACUCUUCGCCAGGAAUGGCGAGGUCGAGAAAGGCGAAAGGAGAGAAGAAGAGGAACUGUGAGACUCUCUGUGGAAUUUUGUAAGAGCCGUACAUAAUCCAUAAACGCGCCUGCCAGGCAGAAGCCGUGCGAAAGGAGGAAAAACGCUCACGCAAUGAGGUCCAUCCGUGCUCCAGUUCUGGAUGAAAUUGCAAAGUGGGAUUCCAUGGCUCAAAGAGGAUUCUUUUAAGGGCCAUUUUUGUGACGCGGCAUCUGCUCCGGUCCGACUGGAACAAAUGAAAAAUAGACGGUAGACCCUGCCUGAGUAACUACGUUCUGAAACCCAAAAUAACAACGAAUCGUUAAAUUCGUUAAAAUGGACUUUUGCUCCGAAGCACACCCAGGCAGGAACGCAGACAAUUCAAAUUUCCACUUUCCUCGCAGUAUAUAUUUUAAAGCCAAUCGCACGGAGAUUUUCAUCCAAUAAACCAAUAUCUGAUCUCUUUUACAUGUACUUUUCUAAAAGAAAUGAAUACUUUAACGCGAGCAUAAAAAGCUCUUCGUCUUCGCAUUGAAAUGAUAAAAAUAUUCCAAGUAAUUUAAUAUUGAAAAUUUAUAUGUUAAUUCUAAAUAAUGUAAGAUUAGGAUUUAAUACGAUAAUAAUUCCCGAUCAUUUUAAUACAACAAUUUUAAACAACGUAGAAUUCGAAUUUCUUUCUCAACUUUUUCACUCUCGAAGCUCAUAACGAACUUUUGUCCACGAGAAACACGUAAUUGGACGAUCUAUCAGAUCCGGAGAAGUCGCAGCCUGUGAAAGGAGAGAAAAACGCGGGCACGAUGAUGCACAAUGCGGUCUGCUCGGCCAAUUAUGGGAAGAAGAUUUGUCGAGCAGCCGGCUCGCGGUAAAAUGUGCGCGUU